CAACAUUCGAGUAAAUGGUCUUGACAAAUAUAAAAUUUAUAGAAUUUCGCCAGUAGAUCGAAUAUUCUUUCUUCUAAAUAAAGAAAUUAAAUAAAAGAUUCCAGGUGAAAAUGGAUGAUUGCCAUUUAAAGAUCUGAGAUAAGGCACAAGAAAAUUGAAUCCGGUUCCUUAAAAUUAACAUCUUCAUCACUUAAAUCGGCACAAUAUUUUGUAGCUCAUAUUUUUGACAAGGUUGUCACCAUACAAUUUUUCUCAUAGAGCUCUUUCAUCUGAAGUAAAUCUCGAACUCAGAAGAAUGGCUGUGAAAACAGCUUAGAAGAUUGGCUAAAUACCUUUACAAAAGGAGGAAAAACGUAGAAGUAACCAGCAAGCCUCUACAGAGUAUUGACACCAGUCCUCUCGACCUCCAGUUAAGCACUUAGUACCAU